rnacentral:rRNA from 1 species
AUAUACACAAUAUGCCUCGGAAUAGCCACCUCCAUGGCGUCCUUCAUUCUGCUUGGAGGAGAACCCACCAAGUGUAUAGCAUUCACUCACGCGAGGAUUAUGCUUCACCAACCUGCUACUGCUUAUUAUCGGGUAAGGACACUAGAAUUUUUACUAGAAGUAGAAGAGUUACACAAAGUUCGUGAAAUGAUCACAAGGGUUUAUGCAGUAAGAACAGGCAAGCCUUUUUGGUUGUAUCCGAAUACAUGGAAAUAA